GACUGCAUGGGCUGCUGGAUGUAAGUCUGUGGCUCUGGGUGUGAGUUCGCUGAGUGCGUGCCUACCCCGUUCGCCUCUGUGGAUCCAAAGCAGGAGGCUUUGGCUGGAGGUGGGACUUGAGGUCUAAUCCUGGCUCUGCUGCUCACUCUGAUUGACCCUAAGCCAGUUGCAAAACACUCUACACUUCACAGCCUUCAAUCUUUACGGGAUGCAAGGAGUUUGGACGCAGUUGGUAGCAGCCUCUCAGUACUAUUUAUGGAUAAUAAUGAGACCGAUGGGUUACACCUGGCUUCGGGGAGACCCCUGGAGGGUUUUGUGGUUGAUACUAUUUAUGCUGCAGGAACGGUGUCUGUGACCAGCAUGAUAGAGAAAUCUCCAACAGAGACUCCAUUCGGAACUCUGUUCCAAGGUGCUCCCUGUGCAUCCUGGUGAUUCCUGAUCCAAAAGAGGACUGGGAUUUGUCUUGUCUCUUAUAGAAGGAGGUUGAAAGGCAUUUGCACUUGACCUCUCCAGAACUCUCACCAUGAAACAGCCUUUGGCUCUGAUUUACUUAUAUGUUUGUACUUUAAUGUUGAAGCUAUGUUGUUGUUGUUUUUCCUAUAAUAAACUAGAUUUAUUU